UCCCUGAAGUCCAUCUACCUAGAAUUAAAAAUCAGCUUGAAUUAGCCCUGCAGUUCAGAGCUACCUGUCUCUCGCAAGCCUGAUCACUCUGGUUGCUUUAAUGAAUAUUUACCAUCCUGCAGAAAAGCUGAAGACGCCUGACUGCAGCUGUGCUCCAAAACACCGGAAAGGACUGGGUCUUUCUAAAGCUAUUACCCCAGCUCCAUCGUUCAAUAAAAGACAAUACAUGCUACACU